GAUGAACGCUAGCGGCAUGCUUAACACAUGCAAGUCGAGGGGCAGCACAGGUAGCAGUGCCGGGUGGCUACCUGCGCACGGGUGAGUAACGCUUAGGCAACUUACCUAUCAGAGGGGGAUAACCCAGCGAAAGUCGGACUAAUACCGCAUGAAGCAUGUGUCCCUCGUGGGGGUAUGUGCUAAAUAUUCAUCUCUGAUAGAUAGGCAUGCGUUCCAUUAGGCAGUUGGCGGGGUAACGGCCCACCAAACCGACGAUGGAUAGGGGUUCUGAGAGGAAGGUACCCCACAUUGGUACUGGGACACGGACAAAAGGCCUAAGGGAGGCAGCAGUGAGGAAUAUUAGGCAACGGCAGAGAGGAUGAAACAGCCAAGUCGAGUGAGGGACGACGGUGCUACGGAUCGUAAACAUCUUUUAUAAGGGAAUAACGUGCGGGACGGGUACCGUUUUGACAGUACCUUAUGAAUAAGGAUCGGCUAACUCCGUG
rnacentral:rRNA from 1 species